rnacentral:rRNA from 1 species
AGUGAACGCUGGCGGUAGGCCUAACACAUGCAAGUCGAACGGCAGCACAGUAAGAGCUUGCUCUUACGGGUGGCGAGUGGCGGACGGGUGAGGAAUACAUCGGAAUCUACUUUUUCGUGGGGGAUAACGUAGGGAAACUUACGCUAAUACCGCAUACGACCUACGGGUGAAAGCAGGGGAUCUUCGGACCUUGCGCGAUUGAAUGAGCCGAUGUCGGAUUAGCUAGUUGGCGGGGUAAAGGCCCACCAAGGCGACGAUCCGUAGCCGGUCUGAGAGGAUGAUCAGCCACACUGGAACUGAGACACGGUCCAGACUCCUACGGGAGGCAGCAGUGGGGAAUAUUGGACAAUGGUCGCAAGCCUGAUCCAGCCAUACCGCGUGGGUUAAGAAGGCCUUCGGGUUGUAAAGCCCUUUUGUUGGGAAAGAAAAGCAGCAGGUUAAUACCCCGCUGUUCUGACGGUACCCAAAGAAUAAGCACCGGCUAACUUCGUG